rnacentral:misc_RNA from 1 species
AAGUCGUAACAAGGUUUCCGUAGGUGAACCUGCGGAAGGAUCAUUACAAUACGUUCCACACGUAUCAACCAAAACGUUGAACUGAAAUGCGUCCGAUAGGAAAUAGGGUUCAUGGGCCGGCGGCUUUGAGGUGGAUACACCAACAAAUCAAAACUUCGGUUUUGAGGUGAUCAAAAGUACCUCGGUCGGUUCUUUUCCUUGUCGAGUCUUGGUGCUCGCAACGGAAAGCCCUUUUCCUAGUUCGCGUAUUUAUCCUUUAAAACUACUUUUGAUUGCCUUUUCUUUUUUAACCCCAUUCACCUUUUCAAUUUUAAAACUGUGAACUGAUCUCGAGCUUUUAAUCGGGCUCGAUCAUUUUUACGAAACGUAAGAACAACUCUUAACAACGGAUAUCUUGGCUCUC